rnacentral:rRNA from 1 species
AACGAACGUUGGCGGCGUGGAUUAGGCAUGCAAGUCGGGGGAAUCCCAGCAAUGGGGGGAACCGGCGUAAGGGGCAGUAAGGCAUGGGUACCUACCUUUGGGUUCGGGAUAGCCAUCAGAGAUGGUGGGUAAUACCGGAUGACGUCGUGAGACCAAAGAUUUAUCGCCCGAAGAGGGGCCCAUGUGAUAUUAGCUAGUUGGUGAGGUAAUGGCUCACCAAGGCAAAGAUGUCUAGCGGGNGUGAGAGCACGACCCGCGCCACUCGCACUGAGACACUGGCGAGACACCUACGGGUGGCUGCAGUCGAGGAUCUUCGGCAAUGGGCGAAAGCCUGACCGAGCGACGCCGCGUGCGCGAUGAAGGCC